rnacentral:lncRNA from 1 species
UUUUUAGUAUUUCAUUUUCUUUUCUUUCAGCAUUUUAUUUUUUAGUGUUUUAUUGUCUUUUAGCAUUUUGUUUCUUUUAAUAUUUUUUAUGACCAUGUUUUUUAUUAAAUCCAUCAUGCAUGCAAAACCAUUUUAAAACUAUAAAAAUCAUUUCUUUUCUCGAUUUAAUAUCGAGCCCAUUUUCCAUACCCUUGUAAGUCGAUUGCUUUUUCAAGCAUCGCCGUCAACCUCAC